CCGUUCCGAAAGCAAGGAAUUUGUUUCCUUUUCCUUUUCCUUUUUCUUUUUCUUUUCUUUUCUUUUCUUUUCUUUGUUGGGGUUGUACGACGGGUAUCAAGACCUUAAAAGGCAUAGUAUGCUUUCCUUUCUGUUUUUUUUCCUCAGUUUGCCAAGCUUCAAAUUGGUCCCUUUAACCUUUAUUUUGUAAGCCUCAAACUGGUCCCAUUUAUUUAUACUUCUUCUUAUCCUCCCUAUUAUUUGUAAGAACCAUAUAAUCUUUUGAUCUAAUAAUGAACUCCACAAUAUUUUUAGAUAGAAAAUUAAAUGAUAUAAAAUUCACCAUACAUUAAGAGUAUGAUACUUUCUAUAUCAGUCUCAUGGAUCAUUUUAGAUUGAAUCACGUCAUUUUUACAGCUCUUUGUUUAUUGGUACCAUAGUACAUUUUAUGCAUAUUUUAGUUAAGUUAUAUUUUUUAUGUAGUUCAAACCAGUAAAAAAACUUAUUCGAUCAAAUAAAAGUUUAGUUUUUUUUUUUAAUAUUUAUUAUAAAUUUAAUUUGAUAUAUGAUAAAAAAAUUAAUUUAGAUUGUAUUUAUAUUUAAAACUGUACACAAAUUUAUUUUUGUAUAGUUGAAUAUGAUACAUAUUUAAACUA
rnacentral:lncRNA from 1 species